GACGAACGCUGGCGGCGUGCUUAACACAUGCAAGUCGAACGGAAAGGCCCUGCUUUUGUGGGGUGCUCGAGUGGCGAACGGGUGAGUAACACGUGGGUAACCUGCCCUUGACUUUGGGAUAACUUCAGGAAACUGGGGCUAAUACCGGAUAGGAGCUCCUGCUGCAUGGUGGGGGUUGGAAAGUUUCGGCGGUUGGGGAUGGACUCGCGGCUUAUCAGCUUGUUGGUGGGGUAGUGGCUUACCAAGGCUUUGACGGGUAGCCGGCCUGAGAGGGUGACCGGCCACAUUGGGACUGAGAUACGGCCCAGACUCCUACGGGAGGCAGCAGUGGGGAAUAUUGCACAAUGGGCGGAAGCCUGAUGCAGCAACGCCGCGUGCGGGAUGACGGCCUUCGGGUUGUAAACCGCUUUCGCCUGUGACGAGGCGUGAGUGACGGUAAUGGGUAAAGAAGCACCGGCUAACUACGUG
rnacentral:rRNA from 1 species